CAGCUGGCAGUACGAGGGCACUGUGCAAGAGGAUUCGCUGAGGACAGCCAGAUGAGCAUCCCCAGAUUGAGGAAGAGCUCUCAGAUCCUGAAAGCUUCCUGUGGAUCGAGGUCUGGUGAUGGCAGAAGAGGAAAUAGGGGCGUUACCUUCUGCAUGAUGGACAGCUUAUGGGACAGGCAUAUUUUGACCUACAGUGCGAUGUUAAUGAGGUUGCAGUUUGGCCCAGAGCCACGUGGAUGCCCUCCCAGCUGGCAUCCCCAGGCAGCACCGUGCUGCCCUUGGUGCCGACUGCCUCCUGGACCCCAAGGACUAUGCCCUGGCUCACAGCUGGGCAGGCUCCCACUCAGAGCUGCUGCACUUGGCAGGCUCACUGGCAGCAGUACUCACCUGCACCUAAGUGAGAACACGAGCCCCAGAUGCCCACUAGACCUGGUUGGCCCUGGCAGGAGACAGGAUGGACAGGAAUGUCAGCCUUUGUCCACAGGUAGGUGCACUGUGGUCACGGUGAUGGAGAGAGUGAGGGAGGGUGUGUACAGGUUUGUAGGGUGUAUACUGGGGACGUGUUCCACACUGAGAGGGCUGAUUCAGUUGCAUAAAUGCCACUAGCCUGCUGCUUUCACAGAGAUUGCCUCCCAGAGGCGUUCUCUGGAGAGAACGUGCACAGCACAGGGUGAUGGAGAUGCUGACCAUCCCUUCCUGAGGUCAGGAUUCUCUCCUUAUCCAGCAGUGGUGCAGAUUGGGUAGCAGCAACAGCAGCAAAGUUCUCCCUGGGCUGUGCUCCUGUUCAGCCUCUAAGGUCACACUGGGCUGGGUCUGAGAGGCAGGGACCUUGCCAGGCUGGCUUGGAGAGCAGGGCUGGCAGGGCUGCACUGGGGAGGGAAUGGAGUAACCUGCAGUUGGAGAAGCUGAGGCAGGG